rnacentral:tRNA from 1 species
UCCCUGCUAGUCUAACGGUUAAGAUAGGGCACUUUCAAGUCUGUACUCGAAGCCUUGAGCACUGCUCAGAUCGGGGUUCGACUCCCCGGUAGGGAA